GUGCUUUCUUAGGCAGCAAUGGUACAAAAAUGAGAACGGUACAGAGAAGGUUAGCCAGGUUCCUGUUCAAGGAUGACAUGCAAACUGAUAAAAUAGCUAUUUUU